GACGUUUAUACCUUCAUGGCCCCGCAGCCAGAGGACCGCGGCCAAGGCCGAAGCCAGCGCAGCCACGGUGGCGGCGCCCCGGCCCCACAUCCUCCCGUGGGCGGAGAGAUGGAAGCAAGUUCUGGUGCUGCAGAACCCUCAAAAGUUGUUUGUGGAAUCGGUGAAGUUUCCAGGACCCAAUUCUCAAUUCAUGUGCAGAAGAAAACGUAAGGUGAUCUGUGGGCUUCCUCUGCGCCAAAGUUGUUCAGAUUGUUAUGCACAACCUUGACAUCAACUAGAACAGUCUUGCUACUGCUAUAAGCCAAGUUGACUGUAAAAACUUUGAGCAAAGCACACUGCUGCUCCUGAAACAUUGUACUGCUCUGUGUCUAACUCAAGGUACCUUCAUUUGGUAUAGUGCUGGCUGCCAUGUCCGUACCAUCUACAGUAUAAAUCCAUAACUGCUAGUGCCAUCUCUGAGCCCAGCACCAGCAAUGUUACUUAACAGGGGGAUGAGGCAGGAAAAAAGAGCCUUUACAGAACUACAGAAGGUAAAAGGUGUGCGAGGCAAAAGUUCACAUGCUCAUCAUAGAGAAAAAACAACUGCAAGUCACCUAUUUCUUUAAGCAUAUACUGUACUGUGCAUUUUUUAUUGAGCUUCCUGUUCUGACAGUCCUGUCACUUUGUCUGCUUGUAAGUCUGCUUGUCCCACUCUUACCUGGAGGGAGGAAUGACCCAGUGGAGUUCCCUUUCAUGCUCUGGGCAAAAUCCUUCUCGAUUCAUUGCUUGUUGCUCCUUUGCUGGCCCCUACCUCUUUCUCAGAGUCUUGCCCCACCUUCCUCAGCUCUUGAUCUCAGCCUUCAGUUCCAGCAUUUUAACCCUUUUCUAGCUGCACUGUCACCACAACAUAUUCUCCUUAUUAGUGGAAUAAUUACUACAACCUCUUCUUCCCCUUUGCUACACAAAGAAAGGCUAGCCAUCAAUGCCUGGCCUGAGAAUGUCCUACUGCUGUCAAGGUAGGCAAGAGCUUGGAGCUUAGUAGUAGAUGGCAGCAGUCACUGGUAGCUGGUGCUUGCUGGGAGCAGAAUGUCUGUACAUAGAUAGGGUGAGGUAUGGACUUUAAGCUAGAUGUCCCUAGGUAGGCACCCCAAAAUAAUGACCACUAUGGACCAUGUUGUGGUUUCUUCUGCAGGUUCCUGCUGAAUCUUUGUUCACAAUAUUUUUGAUUUUUGUUUCUGAUGACUUUGCACCCACUCAGCACGUAAGCCUGAGCCCUUUGCCAUCCAUUUGGUAACUGUUGUGCAACCCGGCCUACCCAAGCCAUUCCAAGGUGAGCGUGGACAGCAGGUGGCAAUAGCAGAGCUUGCAACAUCCUUUGAUUGCGUUCUCUCAACUCAAAUAAUUGUCAGCCUAUACUGGAAUCACCGUUUAAUGUCAUAAAUAUUAUAUCUGUGUUAACAUGUCCAUGCACAUAGCUGCAACAGGAGGUUUAAGCAUUCAUAUGGAGUGAGGGAAUGGAAGAACUCAGAAGUAAUAAGUAGCUUUAAUUGAAACUGCCCAUAAAAUAUGACCAGAGAUUUCUUUGUUGUUGAAAUGGGAAUCUGGAAGCACUUUUCAUCAUGAAAAAAUGAAAAAGUAGAAAGUCUUAAUUUCAUUUGAAUAUUUACCUAGCUAAAUUGUAGGAGUUAGCAUUGAUAGUGGUAAUAGAGAAGGCAGUAAUGGUGUAUGUGUUAAGAUAAAAAGGGGGCCAGUCCUGCAGAUGUUAUAGCAGUACUAUUUACUGCCAUAAAAGUGAGUGGAAUGAACAUGUUUUACACCAAAUAUUAUGUUUCUCUUAGUACAGGACAAAAUGUGGGUUUAUAUGGCAUAAAUUUUAGUUUGUUAGUUUUCAUGUUUCUCUAGGCUACAAACAAACUAAAAAUAUUACAACAUCUGAAGCUAUAAUAAUCAUUCCUGUCACUACACUUCUCUACAUUUCUGUAUUCAAGAGAAAGGAUAGCAGCAAACAAUUAACAACAAUCUGUUACAGAAAUGCAUCAUUAUGCUUUGGUUUACCUACAAUGUUUACUAAAUAGGGAUGUCACACAGGCAGAAGAAGGGAAAGGAAACUGUAAAUGAGAAGUAUACCCACACCUGAUUAAAUACUGUUUCUUACAGCUUCUGUAACUCUUCAUCUUUUUACCAGAGCAGUACAGACACUAUCACUUCUAUACUUAUUCAUUAUAAUAACAGUUGCCAAGCUCUGUGCUUCACUACAUAAUUUUUGUUUUAUCCAAAAUGAACAGGAAGAUUUUUUUUUUCUUUUUGCUGAGUGCUAAUGGUGAAAAAAACAGAUCUCAAGGAAACAAUAAAUAGGUUUCUAUUUUGUCCUCUUCUUAGAGCAGCCAAUAAGAAUAUACUGCAAUAGAAGCGAAGAGGGUUUUUUGGGGCUCACCUGACUUCUUCAAACAAGCUCCUGAUAUAUAGUGCAAACAAACAUGUAUAAACUUGCACACCUCUUAAGCAACAUCCAAAAAGUUAAAGCAAAUGGUCUCUUUUUCAAUAGGGAAUAAUGAGACUCUUAAGAAAGUAAAUACUGUGCAGUUAUAUGGUUUUCCAUAAAACUGCUUUUGCUCUGUCCUUUGGUGGCAGAAGGUAACAUUUGCCAAAUCCAUUAACUUACACAAUUUAGAACACUGCUAUUACUAUGAAAUAUACUACUCAUUUAUAUAAAUUUUUCACUGUUCAAUAGUUAUGUGAUGCUUGCUUUUAGUUGUGUUGCAGCUGAGCCUGGAGGCUUUGCCUGGGUAUCAUCUUACCCAUUGUACAUACAGAGAAGUCAACCUCUUGCUCAAAACUCAGCUUUAUGUGCAUUUAAGAGAGACACAGAUACUCACAAUGAUGGACAGAUUUGUAAAGGAUAAAUUGGUUUUACCUUAAGUGACGCAGUUCAGUUCAGCCUUGGAAACACAUAAGUAUAUAUUGAACAUGACUGUUAGAAGACUACAUGCUAUAUCCACAAAGGGAUUUGAACGCUGAAAGGUUCCUCUUUCAGGUACCUUGCUUCAUUUUGUUUUGUUUUGGGUUUGGUUUUGGUUGUGUUGGGUUUUUUUGUUUGUUUUGUUUUGUUUUGUUUUUUUUCCUGUAAUAUGUUGCUAAUCAUCUCACAGAUUCAUCAUAUCAACUUUAGUAGUUGUGUCCCCAGAUUUUUCUAGCGACUUCAUAGUUGCUUUCCCCACAACCCCCUAAGCCUUGCAUUUGGAGUCAGUCUCAGAUUGCUGUAAUGCCAUGGGUGAUGUUGUUGCCUUCAGUUGCUUCUGGAUUUGUGCAUAAUCUUGUUGCCCGAAGGGAAAAGCUGUAGUUCUCUUUCCUCCCUGUGAGAGCUGUUAAUACUAAGUUUUCCUGAGAUCUUGUAUAUGGAGAAUAUACUCUAGUCCUUAAUAUGCCUACUCUUCAAUAUGGAAGUGUUAAAAUCUAACAGGCAUACCUGAGUUUGAUUACAGCAUCCUCUACUUGAGAGUCAGCAUAUAUACAUGUGUAUUGUUUCUUCUUGUUGUUGCCACAGCUGUGUGAGUGUAUGGGCAGCAACAAUUAAUUUUCUUCAUGCCAAGGCCAGCUCUGCAAGUUUUACUGGUAUAGGUAAUCCCAUUGGAGGAGGAGAAGGUAAUUUAAAAAUAAAAGCCAAAAUAGGCUAAGAGGGUGGAUAUAACUAUGUUGUUAUAAAGAUGACACAUCAGAAUGAUGAUUUUCCUUGCCAUAUGGGAAUACCUAUCACAAUAAAAAGCACAUUUAUACAAAUAUAACUAUAGGCAUGUUACGAAGUUGAGGUAGCAGGGAGAUUGUAUCGCUUUAGUUCUAUCAUGAUAAUUAAAAUGGUACCUAUUCUUGACAGACGAGCCCCAAGUAGCCUAUGCCAAUUUUGAAUUACUUCAUUUGGCCAAUUGUUUUCCACAAAGAAGCUUGUCCUUUCACAUGAAGUAAAAUAAACUUUUCAAACCCA